UCGAGGAUCUUCGGCAAUGGGCGCAAGCCUGACCGAGCGACGCCGCGUGGAGGACGAAGGCCUUCGGGUUGUAAACUCCUGUCGAGGGGGAGCAAGGCCGCGCGAAGAGCGUGGCCCGAGCGAUCCCUGGAGGAAGCACGGGCUAAGUUCGUGCCAGCAGCCGCGGUAAGACGAACCGUGCGAACGUUAUUCGGAAUCACUGGGCUUAAAGCGCGUGUAGGCGGGCCGGCACGUCGGUCGCUGAAAGCCCCCGGCUCAACCGGGGAAUUGGCGCCGAUACGACCGGCCUGGAGGGGGGUAGGGGGAGCCGGAACUCACGGUGGAGCGGUGAAAUGCGUUGAGAUCGUGAGGAACGCCCGUGGCGAAAGCGGGCUCCUGGACCCCGCCUGACGCUGAGACGCGAAAGCUAGGGGAGCAAACGGG
rnacentral:rRNA from 1 species